rnacentral:rRNA from 1 species
UUACAAUGGCCGGUACAGAGGGCAGCUACCUGGUGACAGGAUGCUAAUCUCGAAAACCGGUCUCAGUUCGGAUCGAAGUCUGCAACUCGACUUCGUGAAGCUGGAUUCGCUAGUAAUCGCGCAUCAGCCAUGGCGCGGUGAAUACGUUCCCGGGCCUU